rnacentral:rRNA from 1 species
CUACGGGGUGCACCAGUGGGGAAUAUUGCACAAUGGAGGAAACUCUGAUGCAGCAACGCCGCGUGGAGGAUGACACUUUUCGGAGCGUAAACUCCUUUUAUACAGGAAGAAGAUGACGGUACUAUAUGAAUAAGCGCCGGCUAACUCCGUGCCAGCAGCCGCGGUAAUACGGAGGGCGCAAGCGUUACUCGGAAUCACUGGGCGUAAAGAGCGUGUAGGCGGAUUAAAAAGUCAGAAGUGAAAUCCUGUAGCUUAACUAUAGAACUGCUUCUGAAACUCUUAAUCUAGAAUAUGGGAGAGGUAGAUGGAAUUUCUGGUGUAGGGGUAAAAUCCGUAGAGAUCAGAAGGAAUACCGGUUGCGAAGGCGAUCUACUAGAACAUUAUUGACGCUGAGACGCGAAAGCGUGGGGAGCAAACAGGAUUAGAUACCCCUGUAGUC